GCAUUAUGCCACGUCUUCACUCUGACUCACGCUCCAGGGAGCAGAGACAUGGAGUUUGAAUCCGCAGCAUGAGGGUGGGUAGGAAUUGUAUAUUUUGACAGCUGAGGAAGAGGGGCGGGGGACAGACUUGAGGGCGUAGAGGCUGGAAAGGGGUGAAGUAAAGAAAUCCUAGAAGUCCUGAAGCCCGAGGCGCCAUGUUGAAUGAGGAGACGUGAGAGGACAGGGCCCCUGUCCAGGAGGCAUGGGCUCAAGGCCCAUGGUACAGCUCCCGGCAACGUUGAGUGACUUUUCCAUCGCCCAGGUCCUGGCUUCGUGGAAGCAAGAUGGGCUUUCACAAGUAAGGCUCUGAGAAGUCACCCCAGGCAACAGAAGUUGAGACGAAGUAACUUCUCCCCGGCCCUCUGGCAGAGUUUCAAGGCAGACUCCGGGCUAUCCGUGGGGCCCCGACAUUGCCUGAUCCUUCUGCCCACUGCGAGCAGGACCUGGGGGCAGGUGUUGCCUCUGGAGGGCACUUGAGGUCAUGAAGACACAGGUCAAAAUCAUACAGCAGAAGAAAGCGAACACAGCCAUGGGACCAGAUCGAGAUGCAGAACACUGCCACUUGUGAGCAUUACAUGCGUGUAAGCCUUCCAGUCCUCCAGUCUCCCCCGAGGAUAACUCUAUCCUGACCCCUAGCAUCACAGAUUACGCUUCCUAUUUGGUUUUUAAUGAAUGUCAUCACAUCGUCCGCACUCUUCCGCGUUUGGCUUCUUUUAUUCAACCUUGUGUCUGGGAUUCGUUUGUGGUAAGAUUCGUACCUCAUUUUGCACUGCAGUUUUCAUACGCAAAGGCCCCAACUAGCCAGGGUAUUCUUGAAGAAGAACCAAAGCUGGAGAAAGAUCUGUCAUGGUGCCAGUGUCAUUAAGGCAGCAGGGGAUUGGCAUAAAGACAGACGGGCAGACCAGUGGCACAGAAGAGGGUACAGAAAUAGGCCAGCACAUAGACGGUGGCCUUCUAGCAAAGGGGAGCUGCGGGAAGGGAGCCGUCCCAAGAAGUGAUGUGAUUGGUUACUGGUCACGACGCCAUCUGUCACUUACAUAGUGAUUGGAGGACUGGAGAGCUAGCGGCAGAGCUCGCGCUUGCGGUCACCAUAUCGCAGUAACUGACGUUUGAACCAUUGUGGUCGGGGUCUGGUGUUAUUCAGCUAAACCGUGGCGACUCCGAUUUGUGCACAUCGGAACCGUGCAAAGCAAGGGGUGCCUGUACUUGAAAGGAAGGGGUGCUGGUUACAUUCCAGGAUGUGGCUGUGGUCUUCGCAGAUUCAGAAUGGAAGGGACUGAGCUCUGAGCAGAGGAACCUACACAAAGAAGUGAUGCUGGAGAAUUACAGGAAUCUGCUCUGUUGGG